GUUGCUACUUCUUGCUUCGGGUUGGUUUUUUACCCUGGCGAGCUCUCUUCAAAUGAAAAUAAGAUGGGACUUAACAAUUCCAGCUUUAAGAAAGCUGCAACCAGCAAUUAAAGAAAGUUAAACUACCUCUUCUUUCUCAGGAUCAUAGCAACAUAGGUUUUACCUCCCGUAUUACCAGCGUUACUUAAUUAUUGCCAGUUAUUUCAAACAGCUGGAAACAACUUGGAAAGCUGCUUAACUAGAGAGAAAACGCAAUUUGGAGAAAGAGUGAAUGCUGAAGAUGUUUUCGUUUAGCUGCCCAAGCAUUUGGGAGUGCUAUGAAGAUAUCACUUAAUUGAAAGAGAGGCUAUGAAGUCUUGUUCCCCUCUUGUCUUGAGCCUAAUGUGACCAAAGAGGUUAGAUGUGAUAUUUUAACUCAUCAGUUGACGGAAACGUUUUGUAUAACGUACCCAAAUAAUCAAAAUUUCCAAAACAAAACAUGGCGCUACAGUUGCCCUUUGGUUCUUCAUUAAACUGAGUGCCUUGUAAAAGCUGUAACCAGUGUUUGACACAAGAGAAGCCUCAGCAACACUAGAAAAAAUGAUUAAUUAUCAACAUCUGAAUUUCACCAUUAGUCAAAUCUCAGCCUGCCCUCUCUGCCUGUAGAAUCUUGUCUGCCAUGAUGACUCCUGUUAGAAAUCAUCUUACUUUUAGUUUUUAGUUUUCUCUCUCUGAUUUGUAGACUUCACCUCUUUUGCUAGCAAAAAGUUCCACAAAGCACAAUUUUUCACUUUUUACGAUUAGCAAGCCCCAUGAAAUACAACAUAAUUUAUUGUGUAUGAGACAAUUCUGUGCCUAUUGAUUCUACCUGUUUUGAGAAAAAAAGAAAAAAACUUUAAUUACCAAAAAAAAGCCAUUAAUGCAAUCUUCUUAAUAUCAUAAGGUUACUUUGUUCAGUUUCAGAUGAUUCACGUGUCACAUCUGGUAAACUAAACCCAGGGAUUUUUUAAAAAGUAGUUGUGAACCGUCAAAGGAAAAAGUAGAAGAAAGGGUGUGAAGAGUUGUUAGCUCAACAAUGUCACCCAAGGUCUUGAGAUCUGGAACAGCUGCAACUACAGAUCAAAAGUCCUCAGAAAGCAAAAUUUCUUGGUGAUGGCAAAAGAGAAGAAAAGUACUUUUCCAAAAAAAGUAUUUAAGAAGCACUUUGGAAUAUAUCUAAACUGCAUUGCAAACAGUCUUGUUUAGACUUGUCUUUGACAGACUAUACCUUACUUAGAUCAUCAUUUUAAUUUUGACUUCCAUCCAGAAGUUGAUGCCUGAAUUUUUACAGGAAAAAAUCUCAUGUUUCUCAACUCUAAGGAAUGAACACAUCUAGUGCUACUUCUCUGAGACAGAAACAGGGAUAAGGUGGGGGAAAAAAAAGGGUAAACCCAGAAUAUUUUGGACUAUAAAGUUAGAAAAUUGUCAAAGAAAGAGGGAGCAUGUUAAAAGGAUAUAGGAGCCAACCAAAUGGACAAUUUAAACUUCAAAAUAAAUAAUAAUAUUAAUAGGGGAUAACCCAUCAACUAAAAUAAGAAUCAUGAGUCUAUGCUGUUAUACAUAAAUAAAUGGAAAAUUUGAAAGCUUAAUGAGAAAUGGGAUAUGUAUAUAGUUUCAAAGUACAUCCUCAUAAAAUACUGAUUAAUUACAAGGAGAAAAUGAGCAACUUUGCAGUGAAGAAGCCUGGCAGACACCACCUUAAUGAAGUGAUCAAAGUCAACAGUAUAAAUAAUUAAAUAAACUAAAAUACUUUGCCACUUGACAGAAUGCAAUGAGAAAAACAUAGCAUCCCAUGCACUUAAUGAGGAACAUGAGCCAACUCCAAGUAGAAGGCCGUACCACAAGAUAAAUGUACAGGAAUCUUUAAAAACUUCAAGCUCAUGAAAGCUAAGGAAAAACUGAGGAACUGCUUCAGAUUGAAAGAAACUAAAGAGGAAUAUUUAAAUGCAAUGCAUGAUUCUGAACUCCAUCAUUCUGCUCUAAAGGUCACUAUUGGUGUGAUUGAUGAAACCUGAAUGAUGUCUGAGGUUUAGAUGGCAGUAAUGUCCCAAUGUUUAUUUCUUGGUAUUGAUGGUUAUUGUAAUUAUGUAGAAGAAUAUAUUGUUUGUAGAAAAUACACACUAAAAUAUUCAAGGGUUAUAGAACAUCAAGUGAGCAAGCAACAUAUCCUCAAAUACCAUCAUGGAAAAUAAGGUUUGACAAUGCACUUGCAACUUUUCUGUAGAUUUGAGAUUGUAAUAUAUUCAUAAGUAUCAGAAACAAAUUAUUACAGUGCAUAGGCAUUGAUCCACAGGAAAAAAACCUUGAUUAUUUUAAUAGUAUUUCUUAAUUUCAUUUAAUUAAAGAAAAAAUCAAUGAAAAUAGAAUUAUAUUUAGUGAAACGUAAAAUCCCAUUCACACCUUUCCUACUUCUCAAUCCACUUUCCAAGUGUAAACACUAGUAUUGGCCUUUUCCUGUGAAUUUAUAUGUAUGAGAAUAGCAAUGUAACGAAGGGUUAAUACUAUACUACUAGGCAGCUAGUCUGCCUGAGUUCAAAUCCCUCUGAGUUCAGAUCUAGUCUUAGCAGUUCUGCAAAUCUGAGAAAGUUACUUAACUUCUCCUCACAGCAAUGCCUUCAUUUUGGCAACUGGGUUGGUAAUCACAUCUAAUGAAUAAGGUAGUUAUAAAGAUUAAAUGGUAUAAUACAUAUAGAGGUCCUAGAAUUAUGUUUGCCCAUAAUAAUCAUGCUCUUAUAGACAGGUGUGUCUAGUUUUCCACUAAAAAUGAGAUCAAAAUAUAAAUAUAGUUGUGCAAUUUUACUUUUCUAUAUGUAUAAUAUACAUAUAGUUGGGGAAUUUUACAAUCAGUAUUCCAC
rnacentral:lncRNA from 10 species